AAAUUGAAGAGUUUGAUCAUGGCUCAGAUUGAACGCUGGCGGCAGGCCUAACACAUGCAAGUCGAACGGUAACAGGAAGAAGCUUGCUGCUUCGCUGACGAGUGGCGGACGGGUGAGUAAUGUCUGGGAAACUGCCUGAUGGAGGGGGAUAACUACUGGAAACGGUAGCUAAUACCGCAUAACGUCGCAAGACCAAAGAGGGGGACCUUCGGGCCUCUUG
rnacentral:rRNA from 1 species